CCCUGGUUAGCUCAGUUGGUAAAGCGUUCCACUGUUAAUGGGGAGGUCCCUGGUUCAAUACCAAAACAAGGAG
rnacentral:tRNA from 1 species